CUUGAAACACGGACCAAGGAGUUUAUAGUGUGCGCGAGUCUUAAGGUAAUUAAACCUAAUAGGCGGAAUGAAAGUAAAAGUAAAAUUUUAUUUUCUAAAGGAAGAUGUGCAAUUUUUUUUAAAAAAAUAAUUGCAUCGCAUUCCUGGGGCGCUUUAAAUUCUUAAUUGAAUUGAGGCGCACCAAUAGCGUACACAAUAAUACCCGAAAGAUGGUGAACUAUGCCUGGCCAGGACGAAGCUAGGGGAAACCCUGGUGGAGGUCCGAAGCGAUUCUGACGUGCAAAUCGAUCGCCGGAGCUGGGUAUAGGGGCGAAAGACCAAUCGAACCAUCUAGUAGCUGGUUCUCUCUGAAGUUUCCCUCAGGAUA
rnacentral:rRNA from 1 species